CCUCAGGCAAUGGAUAGUGUUUUGCUUCCACUGCUGAGGUUUUAUAGAUUCAGAUGCUCAAAAGGAUCCUAGUUGGAAAGAUGGCUCCUCCUUUAUAAUUGUCUCCCAAGAGUUUUCUAUGAAAGGAGAAUCUACUCAAACACCUUCGGUAAGCCAGGAUGGCUCUGAAUGGUGGGUGUAUAACCUUUCCUAUCCUAUGACUUUUCUAGGCAUUAUCAUGUUCAGUCUGUGAAACUUUUGGCAGCAGUGUUACCAAGCAGCUGAACCCAGGCAUACUGUGGUAUGAGGAAUGCUAAGCCUGCGUGUCACCACUGACUCCUUAUGGGGUGGAAGGGUUCUGCUUUCCUUUUUUCUGCUGCUCCUUCCCCAUAAGGUUAUCAGCCCUUACUAGGAAGAAUGAAGCUUUUGAGUGUAACCAGAGUGCAUCAUCUGUAUUCUUUACAGUUGAUUAUUGGCUAGUAACUAGGGACUCAAAUAUUGAGUCCCUACCCAACGUGGUGUUGAAAUCCUGUUAUAUAAGUCACUUGUAAAUUUAGUUUUCCCUACAUCUAAAACAUCAUUUAACUAAGAAAACUAAAAAAUUCAAUAAGCUUAAUGAAUUUAAAUUCCUUGAGUAGUUUCAUAUCAAAGUAUUUAGUGGGAUUAAAAUAACUUUAUAUGCUAUAUAUUCCAAAACUUAUUUCACAUUAAGUACAGAGCAUUGCAACAUAGUUUGUGCUUUUUGUGAGUAAGGAGAUGAAAUGUUUAUGUUGUUUACUCUCUUAAAUGCAUCUCAUUAAAAAUAUGAUAAGAUAGACACAUUCUAUUAUUAAUCCCCAAUGUUCUCUUUCCCAUUAUACAUCAUGUCUGUUGAUCACUGCUUAGGAGACCUUGUUGGCCCCACAUGUUUUUAAAAUUGCCAAUUAACAGCCUUGCCCAGAUGCAGCUUGUUACCAGCCACAAAGGAGGAAUGUUAUUUUAUAACAGGCAACUUGUUUCUUCUGUGAUUGGGCUAAAAACAUGCUUGAAGACUCUGAUAUAAGACAUUACUACGUGGUUGAGAAAGAAGUCCAGGGCUGAAGGCUCAUUUCAAUGUAAGAGAAAGAGACAAAAUCACUUUUCUUUAUGGAUGUAUGAUUUAUCUCUUGCUGAUUCCCAUGCUUUUGAGUGGACUGAUAUUUCUGAAGUCUUAAUAUAUUGUAUUUAUUCUCAAUGUUUAUUUACUGACAAUAACAGCUUUGACCAAUGACA
rnacentral:lncRNA from 1 species